UGGGGAAUUUUGGACAAUGGGGGAAACCCUGAUCCAGCCAUCCCGCGUGUGCGAUGAAGGCCUUCGAGUUGUAAAGCACUUUUGGCAGGAAAGAAACGUCGCGGGUUAAUACCCCGCGAAACUGACGGUACCUGCAGAAUAAGCACCGGCUAACUACGUGCCAGCAGCCGCGGUAAUACGUAGGGUGCAAGCGUUAAUCGGAAUUACUGGGCGUAAAGCGUGCGCAGGCGGUUCGGAAAGAAAGAUGUGAAAUCCCAGAGCUUAACUUUGGAACUGCAUUUUUUAACUACCGGGCUAGAGUGUGUCAGAGGGAGGUGGAAUUCCGCGUGUAGCAGUGAAAUGCGUAGAUAUGCGGAGGAACACCGAUGGCGAAGGCAGCCUCCUGGGAUAACACUGACGCUCAUGCACGAAAGCGUGGGGAGCAAACAGGAUUAGAUACCCUGGUAGUCCACGCCCUAAACGAUGUCAACUAGCUGUUGGGGCCUUCGGGCCUUGGUAGCGCAGCUAACGCGUGAAGUUGACCGCCUGGGGAGUACGGUCGCAAGAUUAAAAACUCAAA
rnacentral:rRNA from 1 species